UACGUAGGGGGCAAGCGUUGUCCGGAUUUAUUGGGCGUAAAGAGCGUGUAGGCGGCCAGACAGGUCCGUUGUGAAAACUCGAGGCUCAACCUCGAGACGCCGAUGGAAACCAUCUGACUAGAGUCCGGAAGAGGAGAGUGGAAUUCCUGGUGUAGCGGUGAAAUGCGCAGAUAUCGGGAGGAACACCAAUGGCGAAGGCAGCUCGCUGGGACGUUACUGACGCUGAGACGCGAAAGCGUGGGGAGCAAACAGG
rnacentral:rRNA from 1 species